AUGUGCAUGUCCAUCCGCCCCCUGCGGAUCAGCGCAGGGUCAAGCUCGCCGACAUAGUUUGUGGUGAACACAAUGAUCCGCUCACCGCUAUGCGCCGACCAAAGGCCAUCGAUGAAAUUGAGUAGGCCAGACAAAGUCAGCCUAUUGGGAUCGGCAUAAUCAUGGGCAUCGUCUGCCUGUGCUUGUCGCCGUCCACCUUUUCUGACACGAUUACCGGUGAGGUCGAGGGAGCAGUCGAUGUCCUCGAUGACGAUAAUUGACUUGCCAGUGGUCUCGAUGAAGAGCUUGCGAAGGUCACUGUUGGUGCUUAGGGUGGUGAGCUCAAUGUCGUAG
rnacentral:rRNA from 1 species